rnacentral:rRNA from 1 species
GUUGAUAGGCCGGAUAUGGAAGCCCUGUAAGGGGUGGAGUUGACCGGUACUAAUAGGCCGAGGGCUUGUCCUC